GAUGAACGCUGGCGGCGUGCCUAAUACGUGCAAGUCGAGCGAACGGACGAGAAGCUUGCUUCUCUGAUGUUAGCGGCGGACGGGUGAGUAACACGUGGAUAACCUACCUAUAAGACUGGGAUAACUUCGGGAAACCGUAGCUAAUACCGGAUAAUAUUUUGAACCGCAUGGUUCAAAAGUGAAAGACGGUCUUGCUGUCACUUAUAGAUGGAUCCGCGCUGCAUUAGAUAGUUGGUAAGGUAACGGCUUACCAAGGCAACGAUGCAUAGCCGACCUGAGAGGGUGAUCGGCCACACUGGAACUGAGACACGGUCCAGACUCCUACGGGAGGCAGCAGUAGGGAAUCUUCCGCAAAGGGCGAAAGCCUGACGGAGCAACGCCGCGUGAGUGAUGAAGGUCUUCGGAUCGUAAAACUCUGUUAUUAGGGAAGAACAUAUGUGUAAGUAACUGUGCACAUCUUGACGGUACCUAAUCAGAAAGCCACGGCUAACUACGUG
rnacentral:rRNA from 1 species